UUUAAUGGGUAAUUUUAAAGCAAGUAAUUAUGAAUUAGGAUAAGAACAGAAUUCCUCAAGUCCCUAAUUGCGAUUAUUUGUUAAGAUCUUUUUGAGGAUAGAUCUAAAAUUACCAAGUCCAAUUUUUGUAUAUGGGCGGGCUAUGAAAAUAUAAAAUUAUAUAUUUUCUAGUUUGAUCGAAAAUGCUUUUCGAUUUGAAAAUUUAAAUUAAAUUUAAGUUUAAUUUUCAAUUUUCAAAAUUUGAAACAAUUUUGGAAUUUUGGUAGGUAUUUUAUUGAUAGGUUUAAAUCACCGCUGUAUAAAUUUUGGUAGUAAAACUUUUUGUAAUAAUGCGUUUUUAUUAUCAGUUAUUUAUGGGUGUUUGUGAUUUAAAUGUAAUCAGUUUAGUACAAAUCAUUUUUCUAAAUUAUUUUGAGUUUUGGGAUUUGGAGGUUUGAACUUGAAUUUAAAUUUAGUUUCAAGUCAAGUCGUAUAAAAAACAUGGCAUUUUUUGUUGCUAUAAGUUUUUUAUAUAACUCUUUGAUUCGAAAUUAAAUUUAAAUUUAGGUUUUAGCUAUUUUAAAUUCCAACUUGAAAUUUGUUUUGGGUUUUUAUAAUUGAGUUUUAAAUUUUAAAUCCAAAUUUAAAUAGGAUCUUCUUUACUAAUGAAAAUAUUUUACAAAUCUUUUGCAAAAAUAUUUUAAUUUAGUAAGGAUGGUUGGUAUUUUAAAUUUCGGUUUAAUUUUUAAAAUUUUUUUAUUGACCAAACAUUUUCAAGGUUAGUGGGAAUAGCUAUGACUUUGGUUUAGAUUUAGUUUUAUCAUUGAAUUGUUAUGUAAAGGAUUUGUGGUUAUACAAUAUGUUUAUGUAUGUGUUUAUUAUAUGUACUCGAUUAGAGAAGCUAAACUUAAAUUCAAACCUCCAAUUUCCAAAACUUGAAACAAUUUUUAGGUGAUUUAUUAAGAAUUGAUUUAAAAUUAUGAAUGUAUAAAUUUUGGUAGUAGGUUUUUUUUGUAAUAAUGUGUUUAUAAAUUGUAACUAAUCUGGUUUAAACUAUUUUUCUAAAUUAUUUUAGGUUUUUUUUGGGACAUGAGAGUUUAAAUUUGAAUUUACUUUUAAGUUAUCAAUAAAAAACAUGUUUUUUGUGCUAUUAAAAUUUAUAUAAUCUUUUUGACGUCAAAUUUAAAUUUAGGUUUAUUCUAAUUCGAAACUUUUUGGUUUUUUAAUAAAUAACUCCAAUAAAUCUAAAUUUUUUUAUAGAUCAAACAUUUUUAAGGUUGGUAGGCAUAGUUAUGACUUUCUAGUUUAAUUUAGUUUUAUUUAUUGAAUUGUUAUGUAAAGGAUUUGUGGUUGGGAAUGUUUAUGUUUAUGUUUAUUAUGUGUAUUUUAUUUAAUUAGAAAAGCUUUUAAAAAUUUAAAAUUUGUAAUCCAAAUUUUACCAAUUAAGAAGAAUAUUAUAAUAAUGGGUGUCUUAUAUUUUAAAUAAAUAUUUAAAUUCCGUGUAGUAAAUUUAUUAUUUGUAUUAUUUAUAUAAUAGGUGUAUUAUAUUUAAAUUUUAAAUUUGUUGUUUUAUAUUUAGAUACAUAUUUAUAGAUUAAUAUAUUUAAAUAAUAUUUUAAAAUUUAUUGAACUGUAAUUAUUAGUUUAAUAUUUUUAGUUUGAUGUUGAAAUAUUUAAUUAAAGAUGUUACAGUUGUUCUAUAUGUACCAAAUAAAUAUAGUAAGAUUAUUUUAGUUGAAUUAAUAAAUAAAUAUUUAUUUUUCUUUGUAAAUAUUAUGAACAAUUUAAAAAUUAAUCUGUUUAACUAAAAUGUUAUAUAUAAUAAUCUAAGUUAAUUUGAAUAUUAAAAGUACAAGUAUAAUUUGUAAUUCUAAAGUAUUUUAAUGGUAUAUUUUUAGUAGGUAAAUGAAAAGUAUAAAUGGAUAUAACUUAAUAUUUAAUAUUUGUUUAAUGAAAAGUAUUUUAUUAUUAUAUUGUAUAGUAUUAUUAUAGUGUAUAGUUUUUUAAAAAUAUAAAAAUAUUGUUAAUAAAAUUAUCGUAUUUUAAGUGCGUUUAUUAAAUGCGUUUGUCUAAGAUAAUUAUUUAAGAUUAUUCUUGUAAAUAUAUUUAAAUAUUAAUAAUUCUUAAAAUAAAAAAAUAUCCUCAAUUGCAAUAUUAUUGUAGCAUAGUAAUUUGUUAACUAAAUAUUAAAGUGUUCCAUAGAAAAUUUUUAAAUUACAACAAAUAAAAUAAAGUAUGAAUUAAUAUCAAAAUUUUAAUAAAAAUUAAAAAAUUAAAAUAGGGCAAGUCCUACUCUCCUUUACAAAGAGAACAUUAUGAUAUGUAAUUGUAUGUUUGAUUGGGGCAAUACUAUAUUUAUUUAUAUAGCAUAAGAACUAUAUUCUUUGAAAUUAUAAAAGGUUCGAGCAGGUUAACAAGCAUUAAAAAUAAAUGUGUUUCAUCGUCUACUUAUUACCAUGAUUGAUUGUUCAUCAAAAUAGUAAUUCGUUAGUUGGGUUAAAAUCGUUGUAAAGCAGAUUUGUUUAUAUAUUUAAUUUUUAUAAUUAAUAAUAAUUAAUAUAAGUACGCAAGGAUUGAUUAUUGAAAAAAGAAAGAAGAAUAUAAUUUAUAUAAAUUAUGGUCAAUUGUUAGUAUUCAUAUUAAUUUUUUUAAAUGUUUUAUCAUUUUAUAAAGGUUUAUUUUUGAAAGAUUUUUUGUAUAAAAUUUUAGGAAUAGUUAAUAAUAAUUUAUAAUUUUGAUUAGAUUGUUUUGUUAAUGCUAUUAGAUGGGUGUGGAAAAAUAAAAAAAAUAAUUAAUAUAUAUCAAUAAUAAAUUAAAUUAAUCUAUUAGUCAGAAAUGGAUGCCAGCCGUUGCGGUAAUUUCUAUGCUUUUAAAUAUUAUACAAUUAUCAUAUUAAAUUGUUAAGUGCUGAUUUAACCAAUAAAAAUAUAAAUAAUUUUUAUUUGUUUUUAAACACCAUUAGGUAUAUGCAAAUAUAAAAUUAUAGUAAUUAUAAAUUAUAUUAUAUUAUAUUUAUUCAUAUAAUUAAUAGGAUAAUAUUUGUAGUUUUUGAUACCAUGAUAAGGAUUAUAAAUUGAAAGUGUUAAUAUCAUAAUCAAAAUUUAUUAUUUAUAUUAAAUAUGUAUGUGUAGAUAAAAUAAGAAAUUAAAAAGGUAUUGUUGCCCACCAAUUUUUAUAAUAAAAAUAACGUGCAGUAAUUAAUAUAUUUAUAAAAAUAUAUUUUAGCUAAAUUAGAAUCAAUUUAAUAAUUUUAAGUUUUGGUUGAUUAAAAGAGGAGUUUUUGGAAGGUGGGGAUUUUCAUUUUGAUUUCCCAGAGAACCAGAGAGGCGGGAACCAGCGUUUUAUUUUUGGGGGAGAGCGGAGCGCGAGGAAAGCCCAUUUUGAGCAGGAGUUUUUCGGGGGGGAGGGGGCAUUUCUGGCGGAGAACAGAGAUUCUUGUUUCGGAAGGGGAGCAGGCCCGACAGAUUUUUGCCAACGCAUUCAGGAGGGGAGCCUUAUUUGAAGUGCGCUUUCUUUCAAGAGGGGGAGAGAAGGGGAGAAGGGGAAGUGAGAAAUUUAGAAUUACACGGUGAAAUUAAAUUUUGACUAAAUUAAGGUUGCCCUCUUGUCGUCUCUAUCUCCUCCCAACCCCUCUCCCCUUGGAUCCUUCCCCCCAAAACUCCUCGAUGUUUCUUCCCUACCCAAAUCACUUCAGCGUUCCCCCGCUACCCAAUCAUCCUCCUACCAAACCCCCCGCCCCCUUUACCCUCGCCCCCUCUCUCAAUCCAACUUCUCCUUUCUCAAUCCUCCUCCUCUCCCCAACCCUCUCCCCAAAAUUAAUUCCUCGUCUAAAAUUCCAUUUUGUUUAUAAAAAAAAUUAAGUUGAUAUUAAUAUUAUUAAAUAUUCAAAAUUAUUUAUUAAUAUAAAGAAAGAAUAUUUUAUUAGUAUAAUAUUAAUGUGUAUAAUGUUAAGUCAAAUUAAAAUGCCAGAUAUGUUAAAAAACAGGCUAUUGUAUUUAUCAAUAGACAAAAAAAUAUGUUUAAAUUUAAAUGUAUAUUUUUGUAAUAUGGUUUUGUAAUGCACAAAAUGAAUAAGGAACAUUUUUGUAUAUUAAUUUAUAUGAUACAAAAAAACAUGACUACAUGAUAAGUACAAGAGGAGACAGACGACAGUGUCCACAGCACCCGUUUCAGCACAGUUGGAGGAGAGGGGAUAAGAUUUAUUGAUGAAAUUUGUGAUUUGCAUCGUGGUACAGAAAAGUUAUGUGAAUAUAAAAGUGUAGAACAAUGUCUUCCGAUUUCGACAGGUUAGAAGAUGGGGAAGAGCAGGCAUUUUGGAGAAGGCGAGGGCGACGGGCAAGCGAAAGAUUUUGAAACUUUCCGAGAAGGGGGAACAGAGGGGUAAGGGGCUCCGGUUUAGACAGAGGAAUUUCGUUGACAAAGAGACAGAAGUUUUGGGGCGAGCAGGCUUUCAGGAAUGGAUUCUUGAUGAGGGGGAGGGGAUUUUAAACAGGGAGGAGAGAGAGGGGAAUCGAUAGCGGCUUUGGGGCAGAAAGAAUUGAUUAUUUAGAAGGGGGCCGCGAGGAGGGGAGAGUCGAAGGAUUUUUGAUUUUUGUGAAGGAGAAGGAAGGGAGCAGAUUCGAACGGGAUAGCGAGAGGGAGAAGCAAGGGGGGUUUUUGGGGGUUAAAAGGAAACCAGUUUUAGACCAAAGAAAGGGGGGGGCCGGGAAUUCAGCUUUGUGGAACACCCCAAAGGGAUUUGAGGAAUUUUUGGGGGAGCUCGACGGCGGGCGGAGCAUUAUUUGAGGAGGGCGGGAGCAGAAGGCUUUCUGAGGAAAGAGGGGACCGAGAUCGAUGAAGGUUAUUUUUUGGUUAUUGAGGAUUGUUUAAAAUUGAAUAAAAAGGCUUUUUGGAAGGGGAUUUUUGGGGGACACCGCCAGAGGAGGAGGGUUUUGGAAGAGUUUGUUUUGAGAGGAGGUUUUGAGGGGAGGGGAGAGAGGGAACGGGAGAGGAACGGACCAGAGAGGAGAGUUGAGGAAGGCGGUUUUGAAGGAGAGGGGAGGCUUUCGGACCAAGGGAAGGAAGGGAGGUUAAGAAAAGGAAAAACAAUUUGUGAGGGAGAAGGGUUUUUGGAGGGGUUUUGGGAAGAGAGGGGUUUUGGGGAAACCAGAUGAGAUUGUUUGCAGAAACAAAGGGGUUUUUGGGCAAAGGAAUACAAUUUGCAGAGGGGGGAGAGCGGAAGGAGGAACACGGGAGGGAAGACAGGAUUUAGGAAGCGAGAGAGAGGAGAGGGGAAAGGGUUUAGUUGGAAUGAAGAGGUAGUUUGUAGGAAGUUAAGAAUAAUGGUUAUAAAUUUUAUAUAAAAGCGGAGAAAAAAGAAAGGGUCUUUUAAUGUCAGGUUGUUUAUAUAGAAUAUAUGGGGUAGGUUUUAGUUUAGGAUUUUUUAUAGCAUUGCAAAUAAUUUGUGGAGUGUGUUUAGCUUGAUUAUUUUUUAGUUGUUUUAUUUGUUCAAAUUGAUAUUUUGUAUUAUUUUUAUGAGAUUUUGAUUUGGGUUUUGUGAUAAGAAGUGUACAUAUAUGUUUUACAUCUUUAUUAUAUUUACUAUUAUAUAUCCAUAUAUUUAAGUCAAUAACGUUAAUAAUAUUGUUUGACACACAUAUAUUAGUAUGAUUUAUAGGUUUUAUAUUGUUUGUAUUUAUAAUAAUAAUAGCUUUUAUAGGAUAUGUACUGCCUUGUACAAUGAUGUCAUACUGAGGUUUAACGGUGUUUAGUAAUAUUAUAGCAACAGUACCAAUUUUAGGUAUAUGAUUAUGUUAUUGAAUUUGGGGAAGUGAAUUUAUAAACGAUUUUACAUUAUUAAAGUUACAUGUAUUACAUGUGUUAUUACCAUUUAUAUUACUAAUAAUAUUAAUUUUACAUUUAUUUUGUCUACAUUAUUUUAUGAGUUCUGAUGCAUUUUGUGAUAGGUUUGCAUUUUAUUGUGAAAGAUUAAGUUUUUGUAUGUGGUUUUAUUUGAGAGAUAUGUUUUUAGCAUUUUCAAUAUUAUUAUGUAUGAUGUAUGUUAUAUUUAUAAAUUGGUAUUUUGUAUUUCAUGAGGAAUCUUGAGUUAUAGUAGAUACACUAAAAACAUCAGAUAAAAUAUUACCAGAAUGAUUUUUUUUGUAUUUAUUCGGUUUUUUAAAGGCAAUCCCAGAUAAGUUUAUGGGUUUGUUUUUAAUGGUUAUUUUAUUAUUCUCAUUAUUUUUAUUUAUAUUGAAUUGUAUAUUAUGAUUUGUGUAUUGUAGAAGUUCAUUAUUAUGAUUAACAUAUUCGUUAAUAUUAUUUUAUAGUAUAUGAAUGAGUGGUUUUUUAGCAUUAUAUGUAGUAUUAGCAUAUCCAAUAUGAAUGGAAUUACAAUACUGAGUAUUAUUAUUAUUUUUGUUGAUAGUGUGUAGGUUAGAUUAGUUUAGAAUAAAAAAAUAAGUAUUUUGAUAUUAUUAAAGUAAAAGAGGAAUUUUGGGCGGAAGAGAAGGAGACAGGAGAGGAAAUGAAGGAGAAAGGUUUUGAGAGGGGGGUUUUUUGAGGGGAGGAAAAAGAAUUUUGAAUUUGAACUAUUUGUUUAAGUUAUGGGAGAGAAGCAAGGAGGAGAAAAGUAGGGGAAUUUUGAGGAGAUUCUUGGGGAGAGGCGGGCGGGCGACGGCGGUUUUGAAAACACCCAUUUUUAGGAGGAUAAGAGGGGAGAAAAGGGGAAAUGGAAUUGGGAAUUGCCUUUGCCAAACUUUUAGAAGAAAGAGCAGGAAAGGUUAGGGGGAGGAGAGAAGAAAGGGAAAGUUGUGAUUUUGGAGUUAUAGAAUAAGAUCAAAUAAGUUAAUAAUAUCAAAGAAAAGUAUAUAUACGCUAGAACAAAUGAAGAAUAAUAAAUUUUUAAUAUUGAUAAAAGAUAAUUUUACAACUCAAAAACCAAGAAAUUGAUAAGAAAAAAUAAAUAUAUUAACAAUUAAUCUAAAAUAAAAAAUAUAAAUGAUAAUAAGUCAUAUUAUAAAGAAAAAGCCAAUACAAAUACAAAGGUAACUUAGUUGUAAUAAUAGACAGAAAACUUUGAUAAAAAAUCCAAAUACAAUUGGAAUAGCUCCAAUGCAAAGAAAGAGACAUGCAAGUAGUAAACUUAUUAAAAAGUUAUUAAAAAAAGAAAAAAAUAUGAAGUUGAUUAAAAAAUAGUUUUCAUUGUAUUUAAAGUCAAAAAUAUUAUAUAUAAUAAAAAAAUAGUAUAUAAUAAUAAGUAAUACUAAACUUAUACUAUAAAUUAAGUGAAAAUUUAAAUAUAAAUAAAAGAUAUAAUUUUUUGUUGAAAUAAAUAUUAGGAAUAAAAAGCAAAAAUUAUUCACACUUAACACAAAUAGUAAACUAACGAUAGCAAAGCUGUUUAAUCCAAUUAAAACGCAUGUACAAGAUUGAAAUAAUAGAAGUUUGAUGAAUAAAAUAUAAAAAUAAAUGAAGCUAAUUAGUAGAAUUAUUAAUAUAAAACAAAACAAAAUAUAAAAAGUUAACAUAUAAAUAAAAAUAAAGACACCAAGUCUAAUAUAAAGUUGCUCCAUAAACAAAAUUAAAAAGGCGAUGUAUAAUUUGAAUAAAAUUAAUAAUGUGUAAAAUAGGCAUAAAAUUCCAAGUCAUUCUUCAUCAAAAACUAAAAAACAAAAAUCACAUAGGAAAAAACAGUAGUUUAAUAUCAUAAAAUAUAAUAAUAUAAAUAAUAAUAUAAAAUUUAUUAAGUUUAACAUGUAGUAAUAUCAUAGAACUAAAAUUUUAUAUCCAAAUCUACUGGACAUUAAUAAUAAAAAGAGCAAUAAGCUAAAUAUUUCAAAGAGGAUUGAUAUAAUAAUAAUAUGAUUAAUAAAUAUAAAUAAGAAUAUAAUAAUGUAUUGAAUAAUAAUAAUAAUGAAUAAAAAUCUGGUAUCGAAUGAUAGAAAGCAAAAAAAUAAUGUAAAGCAAAAUAAGAAUAAGAGUAUAAAGAUGAAACAAAUAUAAGAAUCUAAUAAUGUUAUUCAAAAUAGGUUAAUAAUUAAUAAUCAGAGUAAAUCAAAGCUUAGUAAUGUUAGUGUAGUAUAAUCACAUAAGAUAAUAAAGCUGUAGAUAAUAAGAAAUAUAAAUAUGUGUAUGAUAUAUAAAAACAAGGAUUUUUUGGGGGUUUAGGG
rnacentral:misc_RNA from 1 species